UGCGUAGGUGGUGAUGCAAGUCUGGUGUGAAAUCUCGGAGCUUAACUCCGAAAUUGCACCGGAUACUGCGUUGCUCGAGGACUGUAGAGGAGAUCGGAAUUCACGGUGUAGCAGUGAAAUGCGUAGAUAUCGUGAGGAAGACCAGUUGCGAAGGCGGAUCUCUGGGCAGUUCCUGACACUGAGGCACGAAAGGGCCAGGGGGAAGGCAAACG
rnacentral:rRNA from 1 species